rnacentral:lncRNA from 1 species
UCAACAACAAAAUGCCAUGAAUUCUCCUCAAUCUUCCCCUCACCGUACACAACUGGAAUUUGAGCCAUUCUCUGAAAAAAUAACCAUAUAAACCAUAUUAGCAUACACAUAGAGACUUUUUGUAUCAAGAGUGGACUUCUACCGAAAAGAACAUUAGUAGACUACACGACGAAGUCUACUUUGAUAAGCUAAGUACAUAAAAAAUCGAAACUUCUGAUUCACCAAUAAAUAUCCAAUGAAAUGAAAUAAAAUUCACUGGGUAGUUCAAUCACUUACUAAGAAGCAAUUCUAAACCAAAAAAUUUGAAAAAUAGUUUAUAAAUUUGCUUAAAAUGCGUUUAAAAAAAAACGUCUAAAAGUAGAUUUCUAAAGCAGACUUCGAAUGUAGACUGGAGGAGAAGUCUACUUUGAUAAGCUAAGUACCGAAAAAAUCGAAACUUCUGAUUCAACAAUAAUACCCAAUGAAAUGAAAUAAAAUUUAAUGGGUAGUUCAAUCACUAACUAAGAAGCAAUUCUAAACCAAAAAAUUUGAAAAAUAGUUUAUAAAUUUGCUUAAAACGCGUUUUUAAAAAAAUGUCAAAAAGUAGACUUCGUAAGCAGACUUCAAAUGUAGACUGGAUGAGAAGUCUACUUUUUCAAUGAGAAUUCUACUAAAAAAGGUCAUUUUUGCAAUUGACCAAUCUGUUGACUUUUCAUUCAGUAGACUUCAGGAGUAGACUUCAGUCAAAAAAGGUUACUUUAGCAUUUGACCGAUGCAUUGACUAACAGAGUAGACUUCUAUUGUAGACUUCAUGUUAGAAUAGACUUCUCUGCUAGUCUACUUUUGAAGUCUACUUUUUAAAUAGAAGUCUACAGAACAAAAUAAGUUAUUUUUGCAAUUGAUUUUUUUGAGUAGACUUCAUUGUGAAGUCUACUCAAAAAAGGAUUCCUUCUAAGUUUGACCAAACAAAAUAAGUAGACUUCACAAAGAAUUCUACAAUUUUUGGAAUUUUUUAAAAUUUUUAAUUUUUGAAAAACAGAAGUCAAACACAAAAAUGACCUAUACGUUUUUGGUAAAAGUAGACUUCGUAUGCAGACGUAAACAGUAGACUUCAUACAGAAGUCUAAAUCAAAAAGUCAAAAUACGGUCAAGUACAAAAAUAACCUCUUUUUUUAGUAGACUUCUUGAGCCUUCAAACGAAGUCUACUAAGUUUUUUUUGUUUUCAAAGGAUGUCGACUAGACUUCUCGAGAAGUUUAACGAAGUCUACUUUUUAAAAGUAAAUUGCAAAAAUAACCUUAUGUUGACUAGUAGACUUUAGUGUAGUUCACGAGAAGUCUACUUUCGCGAUAUAAAAACUGAAAUGUGUAGAAAUUGAAGUGUGAGGAUUACCUUUAACAAAAUUGGGCUCGCCUAAGUUUCUCUUAUCCACCCAGAACUCAGGAUUUCACCGAAAUUAAACAACCCAGGUGUCGAGUAACCAGAAAUCACCAAAAAAGCAUGGCGCGAAGCAUUGUAACUUUGCCCAGAUGUUUUGGAGAUGAAAUUAUGAAAGAAUGAGCAAGGUUAUGAGUGAAUGAGGUCAGAUAUUUGUUUUAUUACAGCUUUAAAAUUGGUUGAGAAGCAUUUAUUCCAUUUUCAUGGUUGUUCAUGGUGGUUGAAGAAAUUGAAGAAGAUGGCAUUCUCGUAAUUAAAAGGUCUUUAGAAGGUCCAAGGAGACUUUAGCCAAAUUAAAGACAAAUCGAAAUAAUAGAUGUAUAGUGGCAUUUUCGUUAAUAGUUUAAGUGGGAAGGAUAAAAUUGUGAGAAAAUGGCAAAAGUUGGAGAGAGAAAAAAAAGAGGUUAGUUUGGUGUUUGAUUUUGAAAUAUGGGUUAAAUCUGAAACUCUCCCUAAAAAUUAUAGUGAAAUAGUGAAAAAAGUUGUAGGAUCUCAAAUAUGUUUUUUCUUUAAAUAUAUAUAUAUAUAGAUAUAUUGAUUAUUUAUUUGAAAUAUUAAAUUAAAUAGUAUAAUAAUUAAAUAGUAAUAUCCUAUUUAAUGAAAAGCAAAGAAUUUGCAUAAUUUUUCAAUACUUUUCAAAGAUAAUUGUAUUAUAUCCUAUUUUAAUAAUUCUUUGUUAUUUAUAAUGAUAUUUUAUGUAAAAACUUACAAAAUAAAGUUAAUAUUUUAAAAUAACUCCUUAAAUAAUAGUAUAGAGAUAUAUCUGUAAAUUUGGUGUUUAAUAAGACAUUUUUUAGUAAAAAAAUUAUAUUAGUAAUGGCUAAUGGGUCAAUGAAACCAAAGAUCCCAGUCUUCAUCUGCAAAGCCUUUCAAACUCAAAUCAUCAUCAGCUGAGUAAAAUAAUCCUUGACCAACAGAUCUUUUAAUGUACUGAAGAACUUUGUAAGCAGCAUUGAGAUGAGUAGUUCGGGGAGCAGAGGAAAACUGGCAUAGUUUGUUGACUGCAAAAGUUAUAUCAAGCGACAUGCAAAAGUUGACUGCACCUGUAAUAGUUAGAUACAUCAAGCGGCCAACCAAACUCCUGUACAUUUCUCUAUCUUCGAGUAAAAUACCAUCAGGCUUUGACAAUUUCAGAUUAGGAGUCAUAGGGAUUGAUGAGGGUUUACAUCCAAGCAUUCCGGUGGUUUCAAGAAGCUCAGGCAUAUUUUCUCUGGCAAAGGGAAAUACCAGCUUCAGUUCGAGCCACUUCCAACCCCAAAAAUUACUUCAAAGGACCCAAUUCCCUUAGUUUAAAGUUGCUUUUCAAAUCUGCAAUCAGUUGAGUUGUUGCAGAAUCAUCAGUGCUAGCGAUGAUUAUGUCAUCAACAUAAACCAACACUACAACAUGAGCAUCAUGGCAACUCCGAACAAACAAUGUAUGGUCACCAUGACCUUUUGGAAAACCAAGUUUGAUCAAGGAAUCAGAAAAUUUCAGGAACCAUUGGCGUCGCCUGUUUGAGGACGUAAAUAGACUUUUUCAGCCGAAGAACAGCUCGUGGUGGUAAAGAGUCCCCUUGUCUCUCAGCAUAUCCAUCUGGUAGUCUCAUAUAAAUUUUUUCAUCCAAGUCUCCAUUCAGAAUAGCGUUGGAAAUGUCUAACUGAGUUAGAGACCAUUUCUUAGAUGCAGAAAAUUUCAACAAAAACUUCACUGUAGCCAACUUUGCCACGGGAGAGAAGGUUUCUUUGUAAUCCAAACCCUCUUUCUAUGUGUAACCCUUGGCUACAAGCCAAGCUUUCUAACAUUCCAAAGACCCAUCAGCGUGAAACUUCAAAGUGAAUACCCACUUACAUCCAACAGCUUUCUUUCCUUUAGGCAGAGUAGUUACCUCCCAUGUGUUAGUGGAUUCCAUAGCACCGAGUUCCUUAUCAACUGCACCAUCCCAAUCUUUAGAGUUCUUUGCCUCAGAAUAUGAUUGUUGAAUAGGUAUUUUGGUGAUGUUGUUUAUAUAGGAAAGGUAGUUUGGUGAUAUUUUGGAAUAGGAAAGAGAUUUAAAAAUGGGGUGGACAAUGGUGGAGUGAAAGAGAAUAACAAUGAUAGUCCUGUAAAUGGGCAGGAACUUUCUUUGUGCGAGUAUGAGUUAGGGGAAUGGAAGGAGAGUUAGGUGAUGGAGUAUGAGAAAUGGGAAUACCUGAAGACAAAUAACUUUUGGGUUGAUGAAAUUCAAAUCUUCCUCUGAUUUGGUUUCCUUUACCAUAGGAAAAAUGUCUUCUUCAAAUACCACAUUUCUUGAGAUAUAUACCUUAUUGCUCUCCAAAUCUAAUAUUUUGUAUCCUUUGUAACCAGAAGGAUAACCCAGAAACAGACAAGCUCUUUAUCUUGGUUGAAAUUUAUUUCUCUAAAUCGUUGAUGUGGAACCAUACAUAAACAACCGAAUGUUUUGAUAUGAGAAUAAUCCGGAAGUUUACCAGUAAGUAUCUCAUAAGGCGUCUUGUUAUAGAGAAGUGUAGAAGGGAUCCUGUUGAUAAGGAAUUAAAACACAAUCUCCCCAGUAAGCCAAAGGAACUUUAGACUGGAACAUCAAGGAGCGAGCAACGUUAAGUAUGUGUUGGAGCUUGUGCUCACCACCGAGUUUUGUUGAGGUGUUUCUGGACAUGAGUAGAAGGAUAAAAUCCCUUUUUCUUUAUAAAGUUUUGUAAAAUUCAGCUCAGGUGCAUUGUCUGGCCGUAUUGAUUUUACUCUAGUGUUGUAUUGAUUUUCGACUUGUUGAAUGAAGGCUGGAAAAACUUGAACAAGAUCAGAUUUUGAUCAUAACAAGUAGAUCCAUGUUACCCUUGUAUGGUCAUCGACUAUAGUCAAGAAAUAUAUAUAGCCUUCCACUAUUUCUACAUGUUGCCCUUGUAUGGUCAUCGACUAUAGUCAAGAAAUAUAUAUAGCCUUCCACUAUUUCUACUGAAAAAAGACCCCACAUGUCAAUAUGUAACAACUCAAAGUUGGUAUUACAAAUAUUAUUUGAGGAAGAAUAGGAUAACUGUUUUUGUUUUGCCAAAUGACAAACAUGACAGAAAGUAGAUCCUUUAUUCUUAUAAGAUUAUGUUCCAAGAGCUUCAAAAAUCACAUCAAGUCUUGAAAAAGAAGGAUAACCCAACCUUUUAUGCCAUAAACUCAAAUCAGCUACUGCAUUGACCGAAAUAGAUGAAAUUGAAGUCUCCAGCACAUAUAGAUUCCCAACUCUCUUACCCAGUCCAAUUGUCGAACCCCUUGUAAGAUACUGUAUUUCACAAGAAGAUGGAUCAAAUAUCACACGAGAUUGAAGAUCUGAGGUCAGAGAACUUAUGCUGAGAAGAUUCAGUCUGAAUUCCGGGAUAAACAAGACAUUUGUGAGUUGAAUGUCUUUGUUUAUUUGAAUAUUUCCCACUCCACUUAUCUUGACAAGAGAUCCUGUAGGUAAGUUCACGGAGCUCGCUAUGGAAGUAUCCAUGGAGCUGAAUAAAUUCUUGUCAUAGAGACAUGGUAUGUGGCCCCAGAAUCUAUUACCCAAGUCUGUGUGCAAAGAAUUUGUUGGGAAAUCGUGAGAAUACCAACAAAACAAUAAGUGGAGGAAGAAAAGUUGAUACUGGAGAUAUUUGCAGACUGAGAUGUGCUGGCUUUAGUAGUCUCAAUAAUGGUUUGAAGCUGGAGUUUAGAACUGAACAAAGCGAUGAAGUGUUGCAUUUGUUCCUUCGACAUGUCACCAAUCAAUCCUUCAAAGCUGUUCUGUUUGGUAUCAGAUAGUGUGACCUGAGCAGCAACUUUUGGCUUUCGAAACUUAUCACCAGGUUUUCCUUUGUUCCCAAAUCCUGGAGUAAAUCAAUGUUUCUUGUAGCACCUGCCUACAAUAUGGCCAACCUUGUUACAAACGAGCAAAGUGGUUUUCUUUUGUUCGGACCACUUUGAACAUAGCAGAUUGCUUCAGGAGAAUCAGAAACCUCAGACACUUGAAAAGCAGAAGGAUGAACAACCACAUUAGAGAAACUUUUCUGGUUCUCAUCUUGAUCUAGUAUGUUGUAAACCUCUGCCAGUGUUGGUAAAACUUUCUUCAUGAUUAUCUGCCUUCGUAUGAUAGCAUAAGAUUCAUUCAGUCCAGCUAAAAACUUCACAAUGCGAGCUCUCUCUGCCUUCUGUUGCAGACAAGUCGCUUUACCGCAAAUACAGGGAUCAUCUGGUUCUUCGGAACUAUCCAAGUUACUCCACAAUGUCUUCAAAGUGGUAAAUUAUUCAGAGAGAGACAUAUUUCCUUGCCUUAGAUCCUGUAUUUCUUGAGUUAAGUUGAAGGUUCGUGAUAGAUUCGUCAUGUGAAAUCGACCAUACAAAUCCUUCUAUAUAUCAGUAGCAUCAUUCAAGCGAAGGAUACUACGAUAGAUCUGAGGAGACACAGCAUUCAACAGCCAUGAUUUCACCAUAGAGUUGCAUCUAAGCCAUAUUCUAAAAUUGGAAUCAGAUUCAUCAGGACGAGGUAAAGUUCCAUCUAUAAAUCCAAUUGUGUUCUUCGCAUCUAGAGCAAUUCGCAUAGCCGCAUCCCAAUCAUCGUAGUUACUACCAUCCAAACGAAGAGAGAUUAGUUGUAAACCUGGAUGAUCGAAACUGUGCAUAUCAAACGGAGAAUGGAUCAAAUCGAGCGAUUCCGGUGUUAUGACGGUUCUAGAAACACGAGCAACCGGAGUCGAUUGUGCGGGAGAAGCGUUCGUGGCUGAACUCGUCCUUACGGUGGCUCGAGUUAAUCGUCGGGGAAUUUUGUGAAGUAAACAUUGAAUUCCAUCGGUGAAAAACUUUAAUCAAGCUCAGAAAAGCGGAAAUCAGUGGAAAAUCGAGCUUGUAUGCUCUGAUACCAUAUUACAGAGAAGGAAUCUGAGCUCGGAGAAGAUGAAGUUUGUUAUGAAAAUGAAAAAUAUCUUUAUUUCUCUGUAAGAGAUCUACACUGUACAAUUCAUCUAUAUAUACUAUACAGGUAAGUUAACCAGUCAGUUAGAAAUAAUUAAACCAAC